GAAAGGGAAGCGCUCGCUUAGGCAUCGACAGCUCCCGUUUCGCUGGUGGGUAGAAACGCGCGUGUAGAUCACCCGAAGCAGAUACGAAAAAAAAAGGAGCGCACAACGGCACAGGAAAUCGCACCCAAAGGCCAGCAACGAUGGACUUGGCGGACGCCGAUCUUCAGAACUACCAGCUGGCACGCCAGCUGCACAUGUUGCCGCAACUGUACGAUGUUUUUGUUUCGCAAGUGAUGUGCUACCCGAUGUUCUACCAGUCACUCCACCCUGCUGUGCGGCAGCUGGUGCGUGUGGUCUUGCUGUCGCUAAACCGCCGCUUCAACGCCAGCGCGGGCGCCACGGGAGAAGCGCCUGUUGCGCGGCGCUACCAGGUCGACAGCAUGCGCCUGGUUCUCGCUUUUCUUUCGUUCCCGGAGUACCACACCGAUCGAGUGAGCUGCGCAUCCCGCCUCAUUGCUGCCGCUCCGCUGAGCAAGCUGGAGCUGGGCACCCCAACGCAAGGGGCUGACGUCGCCCCUUCGGGGAGUCUUGAAGGUACACCAGCUUCCAUGACUCCGCAGCGCGCGGGCCCGGCCAUCGCCACUACGACACCGUCCGAGCUGCUGUUAACACCACGGGUGGUAGAGGACGCGCCAUCCGGAAGAGCAUCCGGCAGCGCUUCCCCGGCCAGCAAGCCUGCACAUCCACCGACGGCAGCCGCGGCGGCUGCCGUGACGGGCGUGAUGUCGAGGGCUCUUUUUUUUAUCCGCCCAACUGCGGCGACGGCGCACGCAGACCGCACGGCCCCGCACUUCGGUGAAACAGCGCACCUCUACGUACGCAUGGUGCACCCACAUCAGCUCAAUGAGGAGUCGCUGAACCCGUACUUUGGCCGCUACGGCCAGGUGGAUGUUACACCACUGCAGCGGAUACCUGUGCAGCAGUACGUGCAGUACCUUGGAGAGACUGCCACGGAGGCGUUGCUUCACCUCUUCCCGUCCACUGAGUCGGGCUACACGCUCUACGUGCAGGACUUCAUCAUCACCGUUGAUUCCCAUCAGAACGCGCUGUACGCGGUGCGCCAUGCGUACUGCAAGGAGCUUGUCUGCAUAGCCCUCCACGACGCGACCGCGGGCGGUGGCAGCAACACUCAUUGCUUGGCAGACGUCAACAACUGGAUGCGGCGGCACGCGUUUGUGUGGCGGCUUCACGCCGAUCCUCGCGCCGUCGCGAGUGAAGCGUCGGCCGCUGCAGCCGCUGCUGCGCACUCCUCCGCAGCGGCCGAGAAGCGUCGCAAGCGCGCGCGUGCGCGGCGUCGUCGGCACGAGCGGAAGAUGAAGCGCCGCUCCAUCCUCGGCAUCGCUGCCGACGACACGUCGUCCACGCCAUCAUCAGAGGAGGAAGUCACUGGGAAGGAUGCAGGCAGAAGCGCCAGCAGCAGCAGCAGCUCUGACUCGUCUUCUUCCCCCACAAGCGAUGGCGACAGCGCAGAGGACGACUUGGAGGGCUUCGUACCGGACGUUGUUCUCGACGGCUUCCCUUACUGGACGACGGAGGACCAGCUGAAGGUGUUGCUGCAGCAGUACGGCACCGUCGCGGAAAUGCGGCUCUCCGUGGACGACUUGUCUGGCGCUUUCACUGGCUGCGUACUGGUGCGCAUGGCAUCCGUGGAGGAGGCACUGACCCUCUCUCGGGCGGUGCACAAUACCCUCUACCGCGGCUAUUCUCUCAUCAGUGGCGUGGUGAACGAGCGGCUGGAGGUGGUGGCGCUCGAGGAUGGCGGGGAGGUGCGCAUGCAGUCUAUGCCAGAUCAGGUGCCGCCCGACGUCACGCUGAACGAGCGUAUCUGGGUCUGAUGGAGGGGCGGGGAGGGUGGCAGAGCCCGUAUGUGGCUGGAGGAAGAAUAAUUUGGAUGUAGUGCGUGCGGGCACUCGUGCGUUGUGAAGCGCACACCAAUAGCCGCAUUUGCGUGACAGGGAGCGUGCAACGCCCAGCAAGCGUGGGUCUCGAGGAUCUCCACUACCGGUAAAGGACUACCGCCAGGAAGCAGGAGGAGGAGACGGCGUUGG
rnacentral:misc_RNA from 1 species